UACGAAGGGGGCUAGCGUUGUUCGGAAUUACUGGGCGUAAAGCGCGCGCAGGCGGCCUUUCAAGUCAGGGGUGAAAGCCCGGAGCUCAACUCCGGAAUUGCCUUUGAAACUGUCAGGCUCGAGUACGGGAGAGGUGAGUGGAAUUCCCAGUGUAGAGGUGAAAUUCGUAGAUAUUGGGAAGAACACCGGUGGCGAAGGCGGCUCACUGGCCCGUUUCUGACGCUCAGGCACGACAGCGUGGGGAUCAAACAGG
rnacentral:rRNA from 1 species